AAAGAAAGGAAGGAAGGGAAAGGAAAAUAAGGAGUGUUCGUGAAAGGAAGAAAAAGUAAAGGAAGGAAACAGAAUUACAAGAGAAAGUUACCAAAGGAGAAAGAAAUAAUAUAGCAAAAGAAAGAAAGGAAGGACGACUGAAUAGAGCUACUGAAAGGAAGAAAAGGGAAAGAGGAGAAGAGGAAACAGAAUAAGUGAAAGGAAGGGAAUGGAAAGAGGAGGAAACAAUAUUACAAGAGAAUGUUGGCAAAGGAGAAGGAGGUAAUGUUAAAAGAAAGGAAGGAAGGAAGAAUAUGCGAGCUAUUGAAAGGAUGAAAAGGGAAAGGAGAGAGGAGAAAACAGAACUAGUGAAAGGAAGGGAAUUGAAAGAGGAGGAAACAAUAUUACAAGAGAAUGUUGGCAAAGGAGAAGGAGGUAAUGUUAAAAGAAAGGAAGGAAGGAAGAAUAUGCGAGCUAGUGAAUGGAUGAAAAGGGAAAGGAGAGAGGAGAAAACAGAACUAGUGAAAGGAAGGGAAUGGAAAGAGGAGGAAACAAUAUUACAAGAGAAUGUUGGCAAAGGAGAAGGAGGUAAUGUGUUCAAAGAAAGGAAGGAAGGAAGAAUAUGCGAGCUAGUGAAUGGAUGAAAUGGGAAAGAGGAGAAGAGGAAACAGAACUAGUGAAAUAAAGGGAAUUGAAAGAGGAGGAAACAAUAUUACAAGAGAAUGUUGGCAAAGGAGAAGGAGGUAAUGUUAAAAGAAAGGAAGGAAGGAAGAAUAUGAGAGCUAGUGAAUGGAUGAAAAGGGAAAAGGGAGAGGAGAAAAUGGAGAUAGUGAAAGGAAGAAAAGGAAACACAUGAUAACGUUGGCAAAAAUGAAAGAUAUAAAAUGUUAAAAGAAGAGGGAAAGGAAGGAAGGAAGGAAGGAAAAAUAAAGAGAUCUAGGUGAAUGGAAGUAAAGGGAAAGGGGAAAAAAGUAAAUAGAGAUAGUGAGAAGAAGAAAAGGAAAUAUAUGAUAACUUUGCCAGUGGAGAAAGAUAGAAUGUUAGAAAAAACGAGGGAAAGGAAGGAAGGAAGGAAGGAAGGAAGGAAGGAAGGAAGGAAGGAAGGAAGGGAGAUAGAUUAAAGAAAGCUAGCAAAAGGAAGAAAAGGGAAAGAGGAGAAGAGAAAACAGAACUAGUGAAAGGAAGGGAAUAGAAAGGAAAGGAAACAAUAAUACAAGACAAAGGAAGAUGAAGGAUGAAGAAGUAACACGGUGGCAGGAGGGAACUCGACGUGAAGGGAAGCGAAGGGGAGCAAUCAAUGUUUCCAGGAAGGCCGCGGCGCCAGGUGAGGUGACACACAGCUGGGCGGGACAGGCGAGUGGGUGGGUCUUCAGGCGGCCUCCCCUCCCCCUCCCCCUCACCCCCGACACCUGACACCUCACUUUCACUCACUGUCAGGAAGGCUACGUAAUUGUCCAGGUACUUUUUUUCUGGGGGGGGGCGGGGGGGGGGUCCUGCUCCAUCUUGUUAAUCUUGUUCCGUGCUGUCUCCUUUACGUGUCCCAACUUUGCUCUCUUUUGUUCUCCUUCCUUUCCGCUGUUCGUCUAUUGAUCUUAUUUCUCGACCCUCUUUCGUUAACUUGUGGGGGAUGUUAUAUGUUGUGGCGGCGAUGUACAGGUGUUUCUUGAGGUGUUGUUUUUACCUGUCCUAACUUUUCUCUCUUCCUUUUGUUCUCCUUCCUUUCCGCUGUUCGUCUAUUGAUCUAUUUUCUCGACCCUCAUUCCUUAACGUGCUGUGCGUGCUAUUUGUUGUGGCGUCGGUGUACAGGUGUUUCUUGAGGUGUUGUUUUUUACCUGUCCUAACUUUUCUCUCUUCCUUUUGUUCUCCUUCCUUUCCGCUGUUCGUCUAUUGAUCUACUUUCCCGACCCUCAUUCCUUAACCUGCUGUGGGUGUUAUUUGUUGUGGCGUCGGUGUACAGGUGUUGUUUUUACCUGUCCUGACUUUUCUCUCUUCCUUUUGUGUUCCUUCCUCGCAGCUGUUCGUCUGUUGAUAUCUUUUCCCGACCCUCAUUCCUUAACCUGUUGUGGGUGCUAUUUGUUG